rnacentral:rRNA from 1 species
ACUCCUACGGGAGGCAGCAGUGGGGAAUAUUGCACAAUGGGGGAAACCCUGAUGCAGCCAUGCCGCGUGUGUGAAGAAGGCCUUCGGGUUGUAAAGCACUUUCAGUAGGGAGGAAGGUAGUGUAGUUAACACCUGCAUUAUUUGACGUUACCUACAGAAGAAGCACCGGCUAACUCCGUGCCAGCAGCCGCGGUAAUACGGAGGGUGCGAGCGUUAAUCGGAAUUACUGGGCGUAAAGCGCAUGCAGGCGGCCUGUUAAGUCAGAUGUGAAAGCCCGGGGCUUAACCUCGGAAUUGCAUUUGAAACUGGCAGGCUAGAGUCUUGUAGAGGGGGGUAGAAUUUCAGGUGUAGCGGUGAAAUGCGUAGAGAUCUGAAGGAAUACCAGUGGCGAAGGCGGCCCCCUGGACAAAGACUGACGCUCAGAUGCGAAAGCUGGGGAGCAAACAGGAUUAGAUACCCUGGUAGCACAGG